CCCUCUCCCACUCCCACUGCAAGAAGGAGCCUGGGAAAAUAAACAGACCCUGCAGCCUGCCCUCAAGGUUAUUGUGCUGACCUUGGGAGGAUAGAGGGUACUGAAAUCUCCAGCCAAGAAGCUUGUGGGGAAAGCGACCCUCCAACUGCUCCUGCACCCAGGGCUUGGUGGUGCUUCCAUGUGCCAGAAUCCUGUGGCACUACCGGAGUGAGGACAUUUCGGUACCGGGGCUCCAAGCCUGAUGCGGCUCCUGAGAAGAAAAAGUGGAAGGAAUCAAAACUGAAGAGUAACCACAUCCAAGGAAAACAUCAUAAAAUUUCCACAUUGAGAGGACUUGGCUUGUCUGUGGACCAGAGUGUGGUUUUAAAAGGCAACAUGUUACGGUCUACAUACUGAAGUGAUUUUAAGUAAAAGCAAGUUGUCAGUUUCAUUAGCGCUUAGAGCAUCUGAAAAAGAUAAGUCCUCAGAGCAGACUACCAGCAAGCAGAA
rnacentral:lncRNA from 1 species